rnacentral:lncRNA from 1 species
AAAUACAGUUACCGAUUGAAAUUCUCAAGAUAUCUUCAUUGAGAUUAUGAUUGCAACAGAAGUAUAUUAGAUGAGUGUCAAGAUCAAUGCUUCGAGAUUGCUGUAGAUGGCAGCUAUGCACUUCUGGUUCUGUCCCUGUGCCAUGCAACGAUCAAAUCUGCCUGAAAUCAAAGUUUCUACACAAAACGACUGAAACUGCAGCUCAUGUUUCUACACAAAACUUUUCUGCAUUUGCUGCAGUGGGAUUGUGCAGAGUAUCAUUUUGCUUACUCUUCAACAGCAGUUUGUUUGAUGACAUCUGGAUGCGUGCUAUUGGGAUAUUUGUGUAAUCAUUCGCACUCAUUUUGAACGUAGACACUGAUGUGCGGAUGUCAUUAUUGGUAAAUGCCAUGUGU